rnacentral:rRNA from 1 species
UGCAGUCGAGCGGGGUGAUGGUGCUUGCGCUAUCACUUAUGGGCGGACGGGUGAGAAUGCUUAGGAAUCUGCCUAUGACUGGGGGACAACAUCUCCUAAGGGAUGCUGAUACCGCAUACGUCCUACGGGAGAAAGCAGGGGAUCACUUGUGACCUUGCUCUAAUAGAUGAACCUAAGUCGGAUUAACUAGUUGGUGGGGUAAAGGCCUACCCAGGCGACCAUCUGUACCGGGUCUGAGAGGAUGAUCCACCACACUGGGACUGAGACACAGCCCAGACUCCUACCGGAGGCAGCAGUGGGGAAUAUUGGACAAUGGGGGGAACCCUGAUCCAUCCAUGCCGCGUGUGUGAAGAAGGCCUUAUGGUUGUAAAGCACUUUAAGCGAGGAGGAGGCUCUUUUGGUUAAUACCCAAAAUGAGUGAACGUUACUCGCAGAAUAAGAACCGGCUAACUCUGUGCCAGCAGCCGCGGUAAUACAGAGGGGGCAAGCUUAAUCAGAUUUACUGGGGUAAAGCACACGUAGGCGGCCAAUUAAGUCAAAUGUGAAAUCCCCGAGACUUAACUUGGGAAUUGCAUUCGAUACUGGCUGGCUAGAGUGUGGAAGAGGAUGGUAGAAUUCCAGGUGUAGCGGUGAAAUGCGUAGAGAUCUGGAGGAAUACCGAUGGCGAAGGCGGCCAUCUGGCCUAACACUGACGCUGAGGUGCGAAAGCAUGGGGAGCAAACAGGAUUAGAUACCCUGGUAGUCCAUGCCGUAAACGAUGUCUACUAGCCGUUGGUGCCUUUGAGGCUUUAGUGGCGCAGCUAACGCGAUAAGUAGACCGCCUGGGGAGUACGGUCGCAAGAUUAAAACUCAAAUGAAUUGACGGGGGCCCGCACAAGCGGUGGAGCAUGUGGUUUAAUUCGAUGCAACGCGAAGAACCUUACCUGGCCUUGACAUAGUAGGAACUUUCCAGAGAUGGAUUGGUGCCUUCGGGAAUUUACAUACAGGUGCUGCAUGGCUGUCGUCAGCUCGUGUCGUGAGAUGUUGGGUUAAGUCCCGCAACGAGCGCAACCCUUUUCCUUACUUGCCAGCAUUUCGGAUGGGAACUUUAAGGAUACUGCCAGUGACAAACUGGAGGAAGGCGGGGACGACGUCAAGUCAUCAUGGCCCUUACGGCCAGGGCUACACACGUGCUACAAUGGUCGGUACAAAGGGUUGCUACCUCGCGAUAGCAUGCUAAUCUCAAAAAGCCGAUCGUAGUCCGGAUUGGAGUCUGCAACUCGACUCCAUGAAGUCGGAAUCGCUAGUAAUCGCGGAUCAGAAUGCCGCGGUGAAUACGUUCCCGGGCCUU